CAUAUUGAGCGCGGCUGGGAUCUCCAAGCGCUGCUGCUUGCCUCUGGUAAGCGCGGCGCUUGCCCAGUCUGCGUGAAUAUUCACCCAUGUCUUUUGCGUACUUCUUGUUUCCUUGGCGGGUUCGCCCGCCAUCAGGACCAACUUAAACCUUUUGUAAUUGCAGUCAGCGUCAGUAAAAUUUAUUAUUA
rnacentral:misc_RNA from 1 species